rnacentral:rRNA from 1 species
GACGAACGCUGGCGGCGUGCCUAAUACAUGCAAGUCGAACGCACUCUCGUUUAGAUUGAAGGAGCUUGCUCCUGAUUGAUAAACAUUUGAGUGAGUGGCGGACGGGUGAGUAACACGUGGGUAACCUGCCCUAAAGUGGGGGAUAACAUUUGGAAACAGAUGCUAAUACCGCAUAAAACCUAACACCGCAUGGUGUAGGGUUGAAAGAUGGUUUCGGCUAUCACUUUAGGAUGGACCCGCGGUGCAUUAGUUAGUUGGUGAGGUAAAGGCUCACCAAGACCGUGAUGCAUAGCCGACCUGAGAGGGUAAUCGGCCACACUGGGACUGAGACACGGCCCAGACUCCUACGGGAGGCAGCAGUAGGGAAUCUUCCACAAUGGACGAAAGUCUGAUGGAGCAACGCCGCGUGAGUGAAGAAGGUUUCGGAUCGUAAAACUCUGUUGUUGGAGAAGAAUGUAUCUGAUAGUAACUGAUCAGGUAGUGACGGUAUCCAACCAGAA